GUUUUUUUUUUUUUUCAGUGUCUCAAAUCUAACCUUGUCUAAUCUUGUCUCUAAUGUUUUCUUACCCAGCUUCAGGAUGAGCAGAAUAAGAGGAAAAAAGCUGAGGAGGAAGUGAAGAACCUGAAAGAGGAGCUGAAGACUAUAAAGGAGAAAGCCUCCCAGGCACAGGGUGGCAGCGGCUCGGCUGCUCAGGAAACAGACACAGGACACAUCAUUGUGGACAAGGUCGACCAAUGGGGAGAAUAUAUCAGUCUCAGAAACAUGUCCAGUAAGGACCAACAACUGGAAGGCUGGGAAUUACAUGUACGAGUCAACAACAGAAAACCCAUCAUACACACAUUUCAGGAUUAUAAUCUCAAGGCUGGAUACAUUGUCAAUGUGAGUUUGUCUUAAUUUCUCAAUUUUGUUUGCCAUAUUUUUUAUUUUCUAUCAACUGUUACUCUAAUCUCACUUAAAGUCAUCUGAGGAGUGAAUUUAGCUCUUUCCAGAUCUGAUCUUCAGAUAAUAACAUUAAACACAAUUCCCCCACUGAGCAGGUGAAGUGGAGCCAGAGAAACUGGGGCACUGGAGACCAACUGCUGGUCACCCUCUACAGCCACACCGGAGAGGUCUGACAUCACCUCACAUCACUCACCUUGACAAACACUCAGAUAGCCCAAAUGAUGUGGACACACACAUACUUUUGAUCUGGGCUUUACUUUUUUAGGUUUGGUCAAAGUUCCAAAGCAGAGACAUCUUAAAGGACAAUUCCUGCGCAAAAUGAACCUGGGGUUAAUAACACAUGUGUACCGAGUUGGUUCGGUCUCUGGGAUAUGUUUUCAUUCUAAUCGCACGUGACCAGUUUUAGCACAAACCGCUAAUUAGCUUAUAACGCUGGUCAAUGGGGCACCGAGUAACGUGAAAAGAAAUCUAUUUCUAUUCCACAAACAAGACUCAAAAUAGUACCACACUUACACGGUACCAUAAUGAGGCCCCUACCUGUAAACCGAAGCAUUGAUAACGUUGUAAGUGUACAGACAGUUUAUUGAAAAAGGUAAUUUAGAACAACAGUAGCGUUCACGUAUACAGGCGGGCGCCAUCUUGGGAAAACAGUCACGCAACCAGUCGAAUUUGCUCAAUAUAUCGAGGAAGAAAGAAGAGUGAGCAAGGCUUUAUCGCCCACGUUCGACCUCAGUGAUGCUCUUUGGUCUGAAUGGGAGCAAUAACGUCAAUCAGUUUAUAAGAGCAGAUUAAAGCACAUGUAAUCUUCCAAUGUCCACAAACAUUUUUAGGUUGUCGACAUACCUUUGGCCACAUAGUGUAAUUAUCAUCAAGGUGUCAUAGACAUUUGUUUAAAUCAUUUUAUAAGCUAUAGUACAACAACAGUAACUUCACAAUCUCUCACCAACAGGAAGUGUCCAUGAGGAAAGUUGAUAUUAAGAGGAAUUAAGAUGACUGUAAUCCAGCAAACCUGACAACAAGUCACAUACAUCCAGAACAGCUCAACCUUUAUCUCCCUGAAGACACUGAAACAUUCUGUAUUUGAUUUGGGAUCAACCUGGUGUGCCAGGCCUGUUCUGUGAAUAUCAGAUCCAACAUUAUUGGUUGCUCUGAACAAAAUGUUUUUCUCAAAAUGUAAAAAUAUAGAAAAAUACAGUGCUAAAGCCUUUUUACAUAAAUGUAGAGCAUGGCUUUUAUUUAGUUUCUACAUUAUUAAGACAUAAUUUUAUUGUAAAUAAAGAAAAAGGUUAAAAUAAAUGAAACUCUAAAUCAAAAGAUGAACACAACUCAGGAACAUUCAUUUUGGAUUAUUACAGGAUUUAAUAUUAAUGUCAAAAUUUGAUCCGCUCUACUUAUUUCCUGUUUGAGGUGCAACAUACAUUUACAGUAGUCAUGUCUCAUUUGUUUUAUGGGUGUUACUGAGAGUAAAGAUAUUUUUGUUCCCUGCUCCAUUUCUUCUCAGAAAUACAUUUUCCAAUCUAUGUGCAUUUUUUGAUAAUAUGUUUUUAGGAAAUAUCAUUUUAUAUAUAUAUUUUCCUGUGAGAUACAACUUUACAAUAUAGAAAUGAAGCUCCAAUUUUGUAUAGUCAUUUUUUUACAUUUGUUGAUUUUUUACUAAAUAUGUUGUCUUUUUGAACCAAAGUCACUCAAUGUUUGUUUGUAUUCACGUUUUAAACAAAUAAAAUAAUCUGUCGCAAUCUGUUGUUUUCUUCUGAAAUAACCAAAAAAUAUAAAUUUAUUUUUGGCUGUAGCUGCAGGAAGUGAUACAUAUAAUACAUAACAUUUUGCCUUAUUUUCUUAAGAACUAUACAGGAAUGUGGAACAGACGGAAGGUCUUAUACUUUUUUUUACCAUUUAGGCAUUUGGUUAAAAUAUUAAUGACAAUUGAUCCAAGAUAAUAGCCUAAUAUUGCUUUUUGACAUAACUUCAGCCAAUACAUAUAUAUAUAUAUAUAUAUAUAUAUAUAUAUAUGUCUGUUUUUAAACAUUUAUGAGUUUCUGACUCAAGUGGGGAACAGUAAUAUUCCCCAGACAUACUGUAUCUCUGAAGUAUCUCAUUAACAUAUUCACACACUGUUAAGCUGUUCUUUGUGAGCUCUUUUUGAUAACUAAUGUGAUGUUCUUUCACUUACAUUCACUGCGCCUACCCUGAAGCAG
rnacentral:lncRNA from 1 species